UACGGAGGGUGCAAGCGUUAUCCGGAUUCACUGGGUUUAAAGGGUGCGUAGGUGGGCAGGUAAGUCAGUGGUGAAAUCUCCGGGCUUAACCCGGAAACUGCCGUUGAUACUAUUUGUCUUGAAUGUUGUGGAGGUAAGCGGAAUAUGUCAUGUAGCGGUGAAAUGCUUAGAUAUGACAUAGAACACCAAUUGCGAAGGCAGCUUACUACACAGUUAUUGACGCUGAGGCACGAAAGCGUGGGGAGCAAACAGG
rnacentral:rRNA from 1 species